rnacentral:miRNA from 14 species
AUCUUAUCAAAGCCUCAUGAGGAGCUGAAUCAACUGAAAGAUCCCACGCAGAGAGACCCUUACUCAAGUCUUGGGAAAUCGCAGACCCCAGACACAGAAAGACCA